UACGUAGGGGGCAAGCGUUGUCCGGAAUCAUUGGGCGUAAAGCGCGUGUAGGCGGCUCGGUAAGUCCGCUCUGAAAGUCCAGGGCUCAACCCUGGGAGUGCCCGGUCGAUACUGCCGGACUAGAGUUCGGAAGAGGCGAGUGGAAUUCCCGGUGUGAGCGGUGAAAUGACGCAGAUAUCGGGAGGAACACCAAUGGCGAAGGCAGCUCGCUGGGACGUUACUGACGCUGAGACGCGAAAGCGUGGGGAGCAAACAGG
rnacentral:rRNA from 1 species